UGAUUAAGAGUCAAUAAAAAAGUAAUGUGCUGUUUUUAUAUAUUUGUUGGUUUAUUAACCUUCAACAUGUGAAGAAGCGCAGCUAUCAUUUUAGUGGUAAAGAAACUAGGAGAUACUCUUCAAUUUUGGAAUUAAAAGGACAGAUGAGUGUUCAUUGGAGUUGUGGGAAGAAAUUAAAUUUGCAAUGGAUUGAGAAAUAAAUGGGGAGUGAGAAAAUGGAGAUACUGACAGUACACUGCUCUUUAUGGAAGUUUCGUUAAGACUGAAGGGAGUCCCCCGCCCGGGGCUCGUCGCUGGGCGGCGGGGCCAUGGGGGAGGCCGAGGUGGGCGGCGACGGCGCGGCCGGCGACAAGGGCCCUGGGGAGGCUGCCACCAGCCCGGCCGAGGAGACGGUGGUGUGGAGCCCCGAGGUGGAGGUGUGCCUCUUCCACGCCAUGCUGGGCCACGAGCCCGUCGGGGUGAACCGGCACUUCCACAUGAUCUGUAUCCGAGACAAGUUCAGCCAGAACAUCGGUCGGCAGGUCCCAUCCAAGGUCAUCUGGGACCACCUGAGCACCAUGUAUGACAUGCAGGCACUGCACGAGUCUGAGAUUCUUCCCUUCCCAAAUCCAGAGAGGAACUUCAUCCUUCCAGAAGAAAUCAUUCAAGAAGUCCGAGAAGGAAAAGUAAUCAUCGAGGAGGAAAUGAAAGAGGAAAUGAAGGAAGAUGUGGACCCCCACAACGGGGCUGAUGAUGUUUUUUCAUCUUCAGGAAGCUUGGGGAAAGCAACAGAAAAGUCCAGCAAAGACAAAGAAAAGAACAACUCGGACUUGGGGUCCAAAGAGGGGCCAGACAAGCGGAAGCGCAGCCGGGUCACCGACAAAGUCCUAACCGCCAACAGCAACCCCUCCAGCCCCAGCGCGGCCAAGCGGCGCCGGACAUAGAUACUCGCAGCAGGCGGGUGCUGUGGUCUCCAGGCAGUGGGAGGGUCAAAUGCCACUGGCCCUGCUGCCUGCCCUCAGGGGCCAGAGGCUCCUGAGGUGCCACUCAGACCAUCUGAGCUCGGAUGGCCCCCAACGCCCAGGACGGGUCCCACUCAGAUGCUGAGACCCGGGACGUGAGAGCCAAGGCCGCGUCCUCUCUGGACACUCCUGGGUUCCAUCGCAUUGGCUCAGCUGCACCUGGGGCCAAGCGUUGGCAUUGGCCUGAGGACCAGGCUGCGUGGGCAGAGAGCGGGCACAGCAAGCAAUAAAUCAUGGACUGCCUCUCUGCUCUGAGGGGCCCAGGUCUUCCCGUUUCUGCGUCUAUCCACCGGUCAAAGGCUCCCUCUCAACUGACUGCAGCCUCAAGGGAGCGUCAGGCGGCAGGCGCUGGCCCUUCCACCACCAGGGAGACUGAGAACUGGGUACUUUGCCUCAUUCACCUGUACUGUAAUGAUGUAUAUAAUUUGGUUGGUAUUUCACUAUUUAAUUUUUAAGAAGCCUAUUUUACUAGGGUUUUAUAUGAAAAAAGUACUGCAGAAGUUGAACCUGUGUUGUAUUUUUUGCUGAGAUGUUUUGUUUUAAGGUAACAGACUACUGAGAUACUUUUCACUCAGUUUUUGUAUGCCAGAUACAGAGAAUUUGUAGCAGUUAUUUUUGUAUUCUCGAGUCACUCCACUCGCAAACAGACCAAAUGAAUGAGCAGAGGGAGGCAGGCCGAGGGCGGAUGCAGCCUGGGCACCAGGCUGACCGAGACACACUUGCUUUUGACUGAGGGACAUUAAAGCACAAAAAAGCAACUGGAGUUGUGUGAUUCUGAUACCACGGUUAACUUUUCUUAUAGUAGGAGGUUGUCUUUUUCCAAGCUUUAUAGCUGAAGCUAGGCUUUGAUGUACUUGGAUCAUUUGAUACAAUGAAUAUACAAACUAGUAACAGGU